GUUAGCAGAAAGUGGCGAACGGGUGAGUAACGCGUGGGUAAUCUACCCUGUUUUAGUGGGGGAUAACCCUCCGAAAGGAGGGCUAAUACCGCAUAAUAUCUUCUCCUCCCAAGAGAAGGAGAUUAAAGAUGGCCUCUAUACUAUGCUAUCGCUUCAGGAUGAGCCCGCGUCCUAUUAGUUAGUUGGUGGGGUAAUGGCCUACCAAGGCGACAAUGGGUAGCCGGUCUGAGAGGAUGUACGGCCACACUGGGACUGAGAUACGGCCCAGACUCCUACGGGAGGCAGCAGUGGGGAAUAUUGCGCAAUGGGGGAAACCCUGACGCAGCGACGCCGCGUGGAUGAUGAAGGCCCUUGGGUUGUAAAAUCCUGUUCUGGGGGAAGAAAGCUUAAAGGUCCAAUAAACCCUUAAGUUUGACGGUACCCCAAGAGAAAGCUCCGGCUAAUUAUGUGCCAGCAGCCGCGGUAAUACAUAAGGAGCAAGCGUUAUCCGGAAUUAUUGGGCGUAAAGAGCUCGUAGGCGGUCUUAAAAGUCAGUUGUGAAAUUAUCAGGCUCAACCUGAUAAGGUCAUCUGAAACUUUAAGACUUGAGGUUAGAAGAGG
rnacentral:rRNA from 1 species